GUGGGGCAACCAGUGGUUGGUAAUGUUCUCUAGUUGCGCCGUGAUUGGCUCAGUGUUCUGUCACUUAAGGGGACCCUAUGUCACUGCCAAAAUUAGCCCCUUGGGUGCUGCCAUAGAGUUACAUUAGAAGUGCCCAUCAAGAAGGCUCAAGGUCAUUGGCCACAGAUAAAAUGACGUCAAAUCACGUUAUAUCUACAGUAGCUUUGAUUGGACUGAUCAUCUCAACAUCUUAGCUAGCAGUCAUCAUCAUGAAUCAAGUCGACAAUCUAAUGGCAGAUCUUUUUUAAUCCUUGUCAUAUGAAGAUAAAUAAUUAAGAGAAAUGAUAGAUAAAAUGUAUCGGUGCUCAUCGGCCAUUGGACAUAAACAUUAUACAACAAGAAAGAAAUUGCAAAUUCAACAAUGACUGAUUUGGAAGGAAUCAGUGGUUAACUGCAAGCAUUGCAAAGCAAUCACUAGCCUGCUAUUCAGCAGAGUGGGUGUGUGGUCCCAAUUCUGGGUUUACGGGUCUCUUUUCCAAGCUUAACAUUAUUAACAUUCAACAUUGGCCAUGCUGUUAAUCAAGCAUGAUUUCUGCCACACUCAAAACAACUGUUAACUCGGAACUGGGAUAUCUGACUUCAGUGAGUUUAUUAAAACAACUGGGAACUCGAGAAACAAUUAGCUCCGACUGGUAAAAUACGUUUUCAAUGGUCAUCCAACUAGGAAUUGUAAGUCGGGAACUCGGGCUUCUUUCUAGAGCUAUGAUCUGAAGAUCACUGACAUCAUCAUGAUUCAACCUUGUUUUUUUACGGGUUCCCAGUUGUCUUGAAAGCACCAUAAAUCCAGAGAAUGCCAGACUUUGAUGACAACGUUUGAUGACAAAAUGUGCUCACGAAGGACUGCUGCGCCACCUUCCUGUUCAAGUGAGCACAACUAGGUGAGUCCAAAAAUAUCUUGUAUGCUGCUGCGUAAAUGAUGUGUUAUGCCAGGGAGCUAUGUAUACUGUAGCUAAGAAAGUAAUACUAAGUGUAUGUUGUGUAGUAAGCUGUUAGUAGCGCAUGUGCCUCACCCUAAUAAUUUGGUCUAUUUUACCCUCUUAAUUUUGCCUACUGUUCUUACUUGGUGGUGCACAUGUAGCCUAUAACCUAUUUUAGAGAAAUGUAAUCAUUCGAAAAUUGUAAGAGCUUUCAUUGCCUGCUUGUAUGCCCCCUUUAUUUAUCCUACGGUUCUGACUUGGUGUACAGGGAGAACACUGUAAGAACGGCCCAUGUUCUGAAUUCUGUCACUUGUACAUUUAAAAAGUGCUGAACAAAUAUUCUAGUUAUAUUACCUAUUUCUGUCCUAACUUGUUCAUUAAUGUCUUAAUCGAAAUUACGGAUUGCCUCUUAUCCGCUUGUCGUCUCCAUAUGCCAUAGUUUGUACAUCUCAUUUUUCUGUUGAAACCACAUUUGUUUAAGCAAGUCAGCCAUAUCAGCUACAUUUUUAAAAAAGGCAGUAAAUGAGGCUGAAAUAACUGUUUCGCUGCCAGACAAGGCUCCGCUGAUAGCCAGUGGUAAGGUGUUGGGACUGCUGUUUGGAGUCUGCUGUUGGGACAGCUUUAUGUAGGCCCUAACAGUUCGUGUGCACCGUUUGUCAACGUUAUAGUGUAAUUAAUGUAUUGUUUAUUGUUGUGUUGUGUAGUAGCUUCGCUG
rnacentral:lncRNA from 1 species